UGCCAGCAGCCGCGGUAAUACGGAGGGUGCAAGCGUUGUUCGGAAUUACUGGGCGUAAAGCGCGCGUAGGCGGCUUUUUAAGUCAGAUGUGAAAGUCCACGGCUCAACCGUGGAAGUGCAUUUGAAACUGGGGAGCUUGAGUACUGGAGGGGAUGGUGGAAUUCCCGGUGUAGAGGUGAAAUUCGUAGAUAUCGGGAGGAAUACCGGUGGCGAAGGCGACCAUCUGGCCAGAUACUGACGCUGAGGUGCGAAAGCGUGGGGAGCAAACAGGAUUAGAUA
rnacentral:rRNA from 1 species